AAACAAACAAACAAACACCAAACACAACAAGAAACCAAAAACCCUCAGUUUCGGAAUUACUUCACCAAGUAAACAAUAAAUAAAAACAAAACAGUCAAUCUACUCCAUGUCUCAAUACCAAUAUAGGUGGAAGUUAAAGAACCAAAAAGCUUACCAAAAACAAUCUACUCCAUGACUCAAUACCAAUAUAGGUGGAAGUUAAAGAACCAAAAAGCUUACCAAAAUGUAACCAUGUAUUUUGAUAUGAACUUCCACACUAUGUCAAAGAAAAAUGUGGCAGUUAUCAACAUAAUAUCAGCUGUAACCUUAAUGAUGAAACAAGUAC
rnacentral:lncRNA from 1 species